GACAGAACGCACAGGAAACCAGCACAUUUCCAUGGUACUGCCCAGGUCACUGCAGGUGGAACGCACCAGAUCGAGGCUUCUUUGCACCUGCUCCGGAGACCUGCCCUUGAUAAGCCAGUUGUCGAGAUACAGAAAGAUCUGGACCCCCCAAUGUCUGAGGAAUAUGGAGACAUGGAAGUAUGUGUCCUUGAAAUUGAGAGCGGUGUACCAGUCCCCCAGAUCCAGAGAGGGAAUAAUGGAGGCCAGGGAGACCACGUGGAACUUCAAUUUCUUGAGAGACUUGUUGAGGCCACGCAGACCCAGGAUGGGUCUGAGGCCCCCCAUGGGCCUUUGAGAUUAAUCCCUGCUGGGCUUGUCAAAGCCUUGAUGGCGGCAGAGGCCAGAAUGGCUUUCUGGCAGACUGCAGGGUAUGUAUGCCCAAUGAGUGAAGGGUAGCCUUAGUGUCCUUCAACCCAUGUAGCCUGGCGUCUGUCUGAUCGGAGAACAGUCCAACUCUGUCAAAGGGGAGGUCCUGAAUCGAGGCCUGCAUCUCUUGGGAGAGGCCCACUGUUUGGAGCCAGAAGCUGCAUUGCAUGACCACAGCCGAUGUGACCACCCACGCUGCCAAGUCCCAUGCCAUUUGCAGGGAGCAUCUGGCUGCUGCGGUACUGACCUCUACCAGGGUGCCAAACUCAUGAGCCUCACCCUGAGGAAUGGAAUCCUGGAACUUUAUAAGACUGUGCCAAAGAUUGAACUUGUAUUGGCCAAGCAGGACCUGAUGGUUCGCCACCCGGAAUUGUAGGCUGUCUGUUGAAUAAAUUUUUCUGCCAAAUAAA